AAGAGAGAGACAUGCGCGCAUAUCAAUAAGCGGAGGAAAAGAAACUAACAAGGAUUCCCUUAGUAACGGCGAGUGAAGCGGGAAGAGCUCAAAUUUGAAAUCUUCAAGGUUUUACCUUGACGAAUUGUAGUUUAAAGAAGUGUUUUCUGCUGAAGUUUUGGUAAAAGUUCUUUGGAAUAGGACAUCAUAGAGGGUGAGAAUCCCGUAUUUGACCAUUAUUUUCAGCUUUGUGAUACACUUUCAAAGAGUCGGAUUGUUUGGGAAUGCAGUCCAAAAUGGGUGGUAAAUUUCAUCUAAAGCUAGAUAUUGGCGAGAGACCGAUAGCGAACAAGUACCGUGAGGGAAAGAUGAAAAGAACUUUGAAAAGAGAGUUAAACAGUACGUGAAAUUGUCAAAAGGGAAGCGUUUGACACCAGGUGUUGUUUUCUCGAAGAUCAAUUAAAAAUGGCUCGAUUUUGUAUUGUUGAGACCUUAAAAGCUCACUGUACAUUUUUCGUGUCUUUUUUAAUGCACUUUUCGUUUAACAAGUCAACAUCAGUUUCUUUUGUUGUAAAAGGGUCAUUGGAAGGUGGCUUUCUUUUCGGAGAAAGUGUUUAUAGCCUUUGGCCUCUGCAAUCGGAGAGACUGAGGUCUGCAGCGUAGACUCUUCGGGGUUAGAUACAUUUGUGCUAAGUUAUAGCUUUUUAUAGACAACUUGUUGACUAUAAUUAGUCUUGUAGCUUACUCGCUUAUGCUAUUUUACCUACGCUUAGGAUGUUGAAGAUGUAGCACAUCAU
rnacentral:rRNA from 1 species